rnacentral:rRNA from 1 species
AUUGAACGCUGGCGGCAUGCCUUACACAUGCAAGUCGAACGGCAGCACGGGAGCAAUCCUGGUGGCGAGUGGCGAACGGGUGAGUAAAGUAUCGGAACGUGCCCAGUCGUGGGGGAUAACGUAGCGAAAGUUACGCUAAUACCGCAUACGAUCUAUGGAUGAAAGCGGGGGAUCGCAAGACCUCGCGCGAUAGGAGCGGCCGAUAUCAGAUUAGGUAGUUGGUGGGGUAAAGGCUCACCAAGCCGACGAUCUGUAGCUGGUCUGAGAGGACGACCAGCCACACUGGGACUGAGACACGGCCCAGACUCCUACGGGAGGCAGCAGUGGGGAAUUUUGGACAAUGGGCGCAAGCCUGAUCCAGCCAUUCCGCGUGCAGGAUGAAGGCCCUCGGGUUGUAAACUGCUUUUGUACGGAACGAAAAGGUCUCUCUUAAUACGGGGGGCUCAUGGCGGUACCGUAAGAAUAAGCACCGGCUAACUACGUGCCAGCCGCCGCAGUAA